GACGAACCGAGCGAACGUUGUUCGGAAUAACUGGGCUUAAAGGGCGCGUAGGCGGCUCGCGAGGUCGGGGGUGAAAUCCCACGGCUUAACCGUGGAAGGGCCUUCGAUACCGGCGGGCUGGAGGAAGGUAGGGGUGCGCGGAACUUCUGGUGGAGCGGUGAAAUGCGUUGAUAUCAGAAGGAACGCCGGCGGCGAAAGCGGCGCACUGGACCUUUUCUGACGCUGAGGCGCGAAAGCCAGGGGAGCAAACGGG
rnacentral:rRNA from 1 species